CACGUAGUUAGCCGGGGCUUCUUCUGCAGGUACCGUCACUUUCGCCUCGUCCCUGCUGAAAGCGGUUUACAACCCGAAGGCCUUCAUCCCGCACGCGGCGUCGCUGCAUCAGGCUUUCGCCCAUUGUGCAAGAUUCCCCACUGCUGCCUCCCGUAGGAGUCUGGGCCGUGUCUCAGUCCCAAUCUGGCUGGUCGGUCUCUCAACCCAGCUACCCAUCAUUGCCUUGGUAGGCCGUUACCCCACCAACAAGCUAACAGGCCGCGGGCCCAUCCCUCUCCGCCGGAGCUUUCUCGAGUCUUCCAUGCGGAAGUCUCGAAGUAUUCGGUAUUAUCCACGGUUUCCCGUGGCUAUCCCAAUGAAAGGGGCAGGUUGCCCACGUGUUACUCAGCCGUUCGCCACUUUAUACACACCCGAAGGUGCUUUAAUCGUUCGACUUGCAUGUGUUAGGCGCGCCGCCAGCGUUCAUCCUGAGCCAGGAUCAAACUCU
rnacentral:rRNA from 1 species